UUCUAUAUGCCUAUAACGCAUCAUCUAAUUUUAGGGACCCGUCCUUUCUUGAUGAGUUGACAGUAGUCUCCAAUAUUCUUUUAAUUUCACGGUUGGAGAUCUCUACUUGUCCACUUGUUUGAGGAUGAUAUGGUGUUCCUACACGAUGAGUAACACCGUAUUUUGUCAAUAGAGAAUCCAAAUAACGAUUACAAAAAUGCUUACCUCCAUCC
rnacentral:lncRNA from 1 species